rnacentral:rRNA from 1 species
GUAGGGAAUAUUGGACAAUGGGCGGAAGCCUGAUCCAGCCAUGCCGCGUGGAGGAUGACUGCCCUCUGGGUUGUAAACUCCUUUUGUACAGGAAGAAACCUCCUCAUUUAUGAGUGAGCUGACGGUACUGUAAGAAUAAGCACCGGCUAACUCCGUGCCAGCAGCCGCGGUAAUACGGAGGGUGCAAGCGUUAUCCGGAUUCACUGGGUUUAAAGGGUGCGUAGGCGGAUAAAUAAGUCAGUGGUGAAAUCAACGGGCUCAACCUGUUAACUGCCAUUGAUACUGUGUAUCUUGAAUAUGAGAGAGGUAGGCGGAAUGUUGCAUGUAGCGGUGAAAUGCUUAGAUAUGCUACGGAACACCGAUUGCGAAGGCAGCUUACUAUUUCGUAAUUGACGCUGAGGCACGAAAGCGUGGGUAGCGAACAGGAUUAGAAACCCGGGUAGUCC